CAGUCGCCGCGGGAAUACGUAGGGUGCAAGCGUUAAUCGGAAUUACUGGGCGUAAAGCGUGCGCAGGCGGUUUUGUAAGACAGAGGUGAAAUCCCCGGGCUCAACCUGGGAACUGCCUUUGUGACUGCAAGGCUGGAGUGCGGCAGAGGGGGAUGGAAUUCCGCGUGUAGCAGUGAAAUGCGUAGAUAUGCGGAGGAACACCGAUGGCGAAGGCAAUCCCCUGGGCCUGCACUGACGCUCAUGCACGAAAGCGUGGGGAGCAAACAGGAUUAGAUACCCGUGUAGUCCCUGUCUCUUAUAC
rnacentral:rRNA from 1 species